AAUUUUGGACAAUGGGGGAAACCCUGAUCCAGCCACCCCGCGGGUAUGAUGAAGGCCUUCGGGUUGUAAAGUACUUUUGGCAGAGAAGAAAAGGUAUCCCCUAAUACGGGAUACUGCUGACGGUAUCUGCAGAAUAAGCACCGCCUACCUACGUGCCAGCAGCCGCGGUCAUACGUAGGGUGCAAGCGUUAAUCGGAAUUACUGGGAGUAAAGCGGAUGUAGGCGGAGCGGAAAGAAAGAUGUGAGAUCCCAGGGCUCAAACUUGGAACUGCAUUUUUAACUGACAAGCUAGAGUAUGUCAGAGGGAGGUAGAAUUCCACGUGUAGCAGUGAAAUGCGUAGAUAUGUAGAGGAAUACCAAUGGCGAAGGCAGCCCCCUGGGAUAAUACUGACGCUCAGACACGAAAGCGUGGGGAGCAAACAGG
rnacentral:rRNA from 1 species